AACGAAGCGUUACCUCCAUUUUGAUUGGCAAUUUGAAAAGAAGUUGAAAUUGCAAGAAGAGCUUCUUUCUUUUUCUAAAUCUUUGAAUCGAAAGAAGAUGGCGGAGGAGCAACCGGCGACGAUGGCUACGGGGAUUACCGAUUUGGAUCAUGACUCAUUUGCUCAUUGCGCUUCCUUCCUUAGCCUUCGGGACCUCUCAAACCUCGCCAUGUCCUCCAAAUCUCUCAAAUCAUUUGCUUACUCCGACUCUAUCUGGCUCGACCGCUUCAGGGAGCUUUGACCGGAAAAUUUCCCCUUAUCGGGAGUGAGGAAGGC